rnacentral:rRNA from 1 species
UACAGAGGUCCCGAGCGUUGUUCGGAUUUACUGGGCGUAAAGGGCGCGUAGGCGGCAAUUCAAGUCAUCUGUGAAAUCUCCGGGCUUAACUCGGAACGGUCAGGUGAAACUGCUUUGCUAGAGUGCGGAAGGGGCAAUCGGAAUUCUCGGUGUAGCGGUGAAAUGCGUAGAUAUUGGGAGGAACACCGGUGGCGAAGGCGGCCCCCUGGACCGGUACUGACGCUGAGGCGCGAAAGCGUGGGGAGCGAACAGG